rnacentral:rRNA from 1 species
CCCCUAGAUGUUCUGGGCCGCACGCGCGCUACACUGAACAGUUCAACAAGUCUUAACCUUGGCCGAUAGGUCUGGGUAAUCUUUGAACGCUGUUCGUGAUUGGGAUAGACCUUUGCAAUUAUGGGUCUUCAACGAGGAAGUCCUAGUAAACGCAAGUCAUCAGCUUGCAUUGAUUACGUCCCUGCCCUUUGUACACACCGCCCGUCGCACCUACCGAUUGAAUGGUCCGGUGAAAUCUCGGGACGGCGGCUUGGUCGCUUGCGUCCGACUGCUGAAACUUGAUUAAACCAUAUCAUUUAGAGGAAGGUGAAGUCGUANCA